AUUGAGGGUCGUCCGAGACGAGGACGUUGAUAGGAGGCAGGUGUAUAGACGGUGACGUCACAGCCGAGCCUUACUAAUUGCCCGAUACUUUUGCUUUA
rnacentral:rRNA from 1 species